rnacentral:lncRNA from 1 species
ACACUUCAAAGUCUGGUUUUAUUUGGUUCAUCAAUGUUUUUUCUUUAUCUAACAAAACAUAAUUAUUUUUUCAUAUGAUGUUGAACAGUUAUAGACCGUAACAAAUAUGCUCUUUGUAUUCGAAUUUUAGAUUACGUAGGGAGAGUGUUUUAUGUUGUUAAAAAACUGUCACAAAACAAACACACUAGGUCUAUUGAUGUAAAUAUCUAUUCAUGUGUUAUCAGUAUGGCAGUUGUAUGUUUCUAAUGUGUAUGGUUAUUGUAAGUGCAGGCUCAUGUGAGCUUCUUGAGGACCUAUGUGGAUGUUCUAAUGUGCCAUUUUUAAACCACAUAUGCAAAAUUUAGUGUUUCUGUGGCAUGUAGACAGUAGACAGAUGAGUUAUCUUUACUACUUCAGCAUCACAUUGGUACAAACGUAUGCUAUCAAUUCUAUGCAUGUUUCUUGUGCAUUGGCAGUCAUGACUUCCAUCAACAUCCGAUAGUCAUAGAAGAUACUCUAUAUGAUGGAAGUCCUACCCUUGGCACUAAACUGCAGCUUAGGGACCAUAAAGAAAUCCUUCCUUUUCCAUGUAAGUUAGGUCUCAACCAGAUCUUCCUCUAAAUAAAAGUUUUCAUGUUCUUAGGUAAUUCAUGCAAGAUUGUAGAUUUGUUUACAGAACACUUGUGUUCAUGACCCUGUGAACCAAAUUCUAAUGCAUUCUAUGGAAUAACAGAUCCAAAGGGCAAGAUAGAAGUUAGGCCCUGAUCAUUACCUAUUCCAUGUUUCUUCUCAUUUGACUUGGUUGAUGCAGCUGGAGGUUUGAAUGCAACCCAUGCUCUGCUGGUGUUAUACGAGGUAUGCAAAACCAAUCUUUUGAUUGUUCUCAGAAAUGUAGGUUGAUUAGAACUGAAAUAAUUCCUAGGCUACUGUAUGGAGGUUCUGCCAGAAGCUUUUUCUAGCCUUUUGAUGUUUUAUAUCUAAUACUUAAAUAGUGAAACUAAGAUGCAUAAUUAUUUUUGCACUGUUUCCAUUCAGUGGCAUAUGUACCAGUGGAGGAGGGGGACCCAAGUCACCAGUUUUAUCACACAAACUAAUAUAGUGUUGCCAAUUUAAGUUUGGAACAUGGCUUCACAUGGCUUUGGCAUUGCUUAGAGUUUUGGACAUGCAUUCUAUUGUUGUGUCAUCUACUCUAUCCUUUGUGUCUCAGCUAUGUUUUCCAGCUACAGCAAAACCUCAGGCAGAAUAUUUAUUGUGCAAAAUGGUCCCAGAAGAAUAUGGUGCAACUCUAGGCAUGACUUCAAACUGCACAAUCAUGGGUUUUUUUGUCAGUACAUGUUAUUUCAUCAUAUGAAGAUGAUUAGUGCAUAGCUAAAAGUUGUUUGACAUGAUGGCAAAGGGGACUAAACUGCUUCCAGAGGAAACAGAUCCAUGGUAACAAGAUUCAGAGAAGGAAUCAGUGUGUUCAUAAUACAAGUGGACAGAUUUCAUCUUCAAAAUCAGCAAGUGGACAGAAUUUAUCUUUGUUAGAAAACUAUUCUUUGCAACUUGAACAUUGAUCAUUUAGUUCUGGAAGGAGUGAUUCUAAAUCUAUAAUCAUAUAAGAUCAAAAAUCUGUAUGUCAUCAAAGUCAUAGAUUAAGUUCAGUUUCCACUAAAAAAGAACAUGAUAUGAGACUGUAUUCCUCUUGACCAGUGUGAUGCAGCUAAAAUGCCAGUGCUCUUGUCCCAGAUUAGAAACACUGCACAUGAUGGAACAUUAAAUAGCUGGCUCCUUUGGAGGGGGCCAAGGCAGUGUAUGCUUCAGUAAAGGUUCAAACUAGUAAGACAUCAUGAUAGAACUUUAGG